AUUCCAGCUCCAAGAGCGUAUAUUAAAGUUGUUGCAGUUAAAAAGCUCGUAGCUGAAUUUUGGGGUGGCCCCAGGAGGUCCACUUAUUUGUGAGUACUUUUUGGGACCGCCCUUCCAUGGCUUAUCCCCUUCAGGGGGGUGGGCCAUAAUUACUUUGAGUAAAUGAGAGUGUUCAAAGCAGGCAAGCGCUUGAAUCUUUUAGCAUGGAAUAAUAAAAUAGGACGAUGAUUCUAUUUUGUUGGUUUCUAGGACCAUCGUAAUGAUUAAUAGGGACGGUCGGGGGCAUUAGUAUCCAGUUGUAAGAGGUGAAAUUCUUAGAUUUUCUGAAGACUAACUACUGCGAAAGCAUUUGUCAAGGACGUUUUCAUUA
rnacentral:rRNA from 1 species